rnacentral:rRNA from 1 species
AGUGAACGCUGGCGGUAGGCCUAACACAUGCAAGUCGAACGGCAGCACAGUAAGAGCUUGCCCUUACGGGUGGCGAGUGGCGGACGGGUGAGGAAUACAUCGGAAUCUACUUUUUCGUGGGGGAUAACGUAGGGAAACUUACGCUAAUACCGCAUACGACCUACGGGUGAAAGCAGGGGAUCUUCGGACCUUGCGCGAUUGAAUGAGCCGAUGUCGGAUUAGCUAGUUGGCGGGGUAAAGGCCCACCAAGGCGACGAUCCGUAGCUGGUCUGAGAGGAUGAUCAGCCACACUGGAACUGAGACACGGUCCAGACUCCUACGGGAGGCAGCAGUGGGGAAUAUUGGACAAUGGGCGCAAGCCUGAUCCAGCCAUACCGCGUGGGUGAAGAAGGCCUUCGGGUUGUAAAGCCCUUUUGUUGGGAAAGAAAAGCAGCAGGUUAAUACCCCGCUGUUCUGACGGUUCCCAAAGAAUAAGCACCGGCUAACUUCGUG